rnacentral:rRNA from 1 species
UACGGGGGGGGCAAGCGUUGUUCGGAAUUACUGGGCGUAAAGGGCUCGUAGGCGGCCAACUAAGUCAGACGUGAAAUCCCCAGGCUCAACCUGGGAACUGCGUCUGAUACUGGAUGGCUUGAAUUCGGGAGAGGGAUGCAGAAUUCCAGGUGUAGCGGUGAAAUGCGUAGAUAUCUGGAGGAAUACCGGUGGCGAAGGCGGCAUCCUGGACCGACAUUGACGCUGAGGAGCGAAAGCUAGGGAGCAAACGGG